rnacentral:rRNA from 1 species
UUCGACCUGAAUCUGACGUGAUUACCCGCUGAACUUAAGCAUAUCAGUAAGCGGAGGAAAAGAAACUAACAAGGAUUCCCUUAGUAACGGCGAGUGAAA